CACUUCUCUUUGCCACUUUUCGUGUUGUUUGUUCGACUCAGACUCUAUAAAACCGACACAAGAGCAAUUCAUCAAAGAGUCGAAUUGCACUGACUGUGCUGCAUAAUCUGGUAAUCAGACAGUUCUCAUUUUGAUGGCCCAUCUCCAGCUUGGACUGCCAGAGGAAAUGUCCGCGUUUUUCAGUGCACAAAACCAUUAUCCGAAUAUUGAAUACUGAAUUUCACUUAACUGAAAGGCUUGAAAAUAGGUCAGAAACAGACCAACAGGGGACGCCGUUUGCCAUUGCAGCCUCAAGUCACGUUAUUACUCGUCUUCCGCUACAUGCUCGCGCUAAACUAAUUUACAGGUUUAAACGACGUAGGUUGACGAUCAUCUUCAUCAUCAUUAUUAAGAAACUCUGUCCAUCCAGAAAUCCUGGUGUUUCCUGGAGGACAUACCCUCACUCCAUCCAGAAUGAAUCCGCUACACCUGUGUGUGAAAAGGUCACCUGACCACCCGUUGGCGAGUCAAGACCGAUCCCGCUGCCACACCAGAUUAUAGACAGGGCACUCUACUUUUAUUGUAUGGAAAAGAGCAGCAUGAACACCCUGCUAAAUAUCUCCUGUUGACUUCCUUUCAUAUACAGAACUAUAAGAGGUUCCAGAUUGUUGGUGGUACACCACACAGCCAGGUGCUGCACCUCCUCCCUGUAGGCUGACUCAUCAUCAUCUUUGAUCAGACCUACCACCGUGGUGUCAUCUGCGAAUUUGCUUAUCUUGUUGGAGCCAUAAACAGGAACAGG
ensembl:lncRNA